CGUAUAUUAAAGUUGUUGCAGUUAAAAAGCUCGUAGUUGAAUUUAUGGAGGUACUUUAAGUCCACUUGUGGUACCAAAAAAUACCUUCAUCUUUAGGCGGAACCUCUGUGUCAUUAGCUUGUCGCGGAGGGUAUGUCUAUCAUUUACUGUGAAAAAAUCAGCGCGUUCAAAGCAGGCUUAUGCCGUUGAAUGUAUUAGCAUGGAAUAAUAAGAUAGGACCUUGGCACUAUUUUGUUGGUUUGCGUACCGAGGUAAUGAUUAAUAGGGACAGUUGGGGG
rnacentral:rRNA from 1 species